UCUGUGUUUGGAAUAUUAAUUUUUUCAACCAUUUUCCUUGUUUUACUCAAAAUAAAAUAUGGGACCGGUCACAAAAUAGGAUAUUUACUGAUCGAUAAUUUAUUGGAGAUUUGGGGUAUAUUUUGUCAAUAGGGACUUGUUGGUAUCUCUCAUAAAUUUUCCUUACGAAUAGCGUACUUGUCUAUAUUUCUCUUGGUUUUUGUCUUUUGGGCUACCUAUUCAGCUGCUUUGAUAAGUUUCUUAACGUCCGAAAAUCACGUUUUACCAUUUCAUUCAUUAGAGACCUUCGUUGAAGACGGUACUUAUCAUCUUAUCCCUACUUAUGGUACAGCUUUUUUUGAUAAGUUUGCAAAUUCGAAAGAUCCGGUUGCUGAGAAGGUAUUGAAGUUGACGCUAACAAAUGAAAAAUUGCCUUUACCGAACUUGAAGGAUUUAAAAGAAUUUGUAAAAAUCGGAAACUAACAAUCUACACAAAUGAUCAAGCAGACAGAAAAAGUAAUAUGAAAAUACCAUGCAAUGUAGUUCGUAUUGAAACAGGACAUAAAAACAGUUUUGCUAUGGUUUUAUCUAAAUACAAUCCAUUUACGGACAUCAUCAAUUUUCAGUUGCAGAAAUUUAUCAACAAUGGUAUGUUGAAUCAUUUAAAGGAUACGUCAUUUAAAAUGAAAUCCAAUCAUAUGAUUAAGCAUCAACCAGUUCCCUUAAUCAGCGUUUUAUCCCUCAUUCUCUUCUUCUCAAUUGGUAUUGUUUUGAGUACUUACAUUCUGAUCAUAGAAAAGUGUAUUUUCUUUCGUAAAUGAAAGAAUAUUUCUCUGGAAAUUUCUAUCCUGUUCAAUAAAUUCUUGGUAUUUUAUGUAAAGAGGAAGAAAAACAUUAGAAAUUUUGCGAAAGAUUUCGCAUA